rnacentral:rRNA from 1 species
CUUAGGGAGGAGCUUGCGUCACAUUAGUUAGUUGGUGGGGUAAAGGCCUACCAAGACUAUGAUGUGUAGCCGGGCUGAGAGGUUGAACGGCCACAUUGGGACUGAGACACGGCCCAAACUCCUACGGGAGGCAGCAGUAGGGAAUUUUCGGCAAUGGAGGAAACUCUGACCGAGCAACGCCGCGUGAACGAUGAAGUAUUUCGGUACGUAAAGUUCUUUUAUUAGGGAAGAAUAAAUGAUGGAAAAAUCAUUCUGACGGUACCUAAUGAAUAAGCCCCGGCUAACUAUGUGCCAGCAGCCGCGGUAAUACAUAGGGGGCAAGCGUUAUCCGGAAUUAUUGGGCGUAAAGGGUGCGUAGGCUGUUAAAUAAGUUUAUGGUCUAAGUGCAAUGCUCAACAUUGUGAUGCUAUAAAAACUGUUUAGCUAGAGUAAGAUAGAGGCAAGUGGAAUUCCAUGUGUAGUGGUAAAAUGCGUAAAUAUAUGGAGGAACACCAGUAGCGAAGGCGGCUUGCUGGGUCUUUACUGACGCUGAGGCACGAAAGCGUGGGGAGCAAACAGGAUUAGAUACCCUGGUAGUCCACGCCGUAAACGAUGAGUACUAAACGUUGGGUAAAACCAGUGUUGAAGUUAACACAUUAAGUACUCCGCCUGAGUAGUACGUACGCAAGUAUGAAACUUAAAGGAAUUGACGGGACUCCGCACAAGCGGUGGAUCAUGUUGUUUAAUUCGAAGGUACCCGAAAAACCUCACCAGGUCUUGACAUGCUUCUGCAAAGCUGUAGAAACACAGUGGANGUUAUCAGUUGCACAGGUGGUGCAUGGUUGUCGUCAGCUCGUGUCGUGAGAUGUUGGGUUAAGUCCCGCAACGAGCGCAACCCUUAUUGUUAGUUGCCANCACGUAAUGGNGGGGACUUUAGCAAGACUGCCAGUGAU